CGUUAGAUCACCGAAGUUAAGCAUCAUUGGGCGCGUUCAGUACUUGGGUGGGUGACCACCUGGGAACACUGCGUGCCGUU